GACGAACGCUGGCGGCGUGCCUAAUACAUGCAAGUCGAACGCUGAAGAGAGGAGCUUACUCUUCUUGGAUGAGUUGCGAACGGGUGAGUAACGCGUAGGUAACCUGCCUUGUAGCGGGGGAUAACUAUUGGAAACGAUAGCUAAUACCGCAUAACAAUGGAUGACACAUGUCAUUUAUUUGAAAGGGGCAAUUGCUCCACUACAAGAUGGACCUGCGUUGUAUUAGCUAGUAGGUGAGGUAAUGGCUCACCUAGGCGACGAUACAUAGCCGACCUGAGAGGGUGAUCGGCCACACUGGGACUGAGACACGGCCCAGACUCCUACGGGAGGCAGCAGUAGGGAAUCUUCGGCAAUGGGGGCAACCCUGACCGAGCAACGCCGCGUGAGUGAAGAAGGGUGUCGGAUCGUAAAGCUCUGUUGUAAGUCAAGAACGGGUGUGAGAGUGGAAAGUUCACACUGUGACGGUAGCUUACCAGAAAGGGACGGCUAACUACGUG
rnacentral:rRNA from 1 species